rnacentral:rRNA from 1 species
CCUACGGGUGGCAGCAGUGAGGAAUAUUGGUCAAUGGGCGCAAGCCUGAACCAGCCAAGUAGCGUGAAGGAUGACUGCCCUAUGGGUUGUAAACUUCUUUUGUAUGGGAGUAAAGUGCAGUAUGUAUACUGCGUUGCAUGUACCAUAUGAAUAAGGAUCGGCUAACUCCGUGCCAGCAGCCACGGUAAUACGGAGGAUCCGAGCGGUAUGCGGAUUUAUUGGGGUUAAAGGGAGCGUAGGCGGGUUGGUAAGUUAGUGGUGAAAGUUUGCGGCUGAACCGUAAAAUUGCAGUUGAUACUGGCAGCCUUGAGUACAGUAGAGGUAGGCGGAAUUCGUGGGGUAGCGGUGAAAUGCGUAGAUAUCACGAAGAACGCCGAUUGCGAAGGCAGCCUGCUGGACUGUAACUGACGCUGAUGCUCGAAAGUGUGGGUAUCAAACAGGAUUAGAUACCCGUGUAGUC